rnacentral:rRNA from 1 species
GAUCAUGGCUCAGGAUGAACGCUAGCUACAGGCUUAACACAUGCAAGUCGAGGGGCAGCGGGGUUGAAGCUUGCUUCAAUUGCCGGCGACCGGCGCACGGGUGAGUAACGCGUAUCCAACCUUCCGUACACUCAGGGAUAGCCUUUCGAAAGAAAGAUUAAUACCUGAUGGUAUCUUAAGCACACAUGUAAUUAAGAUUAAAGAUUUAUCGGUGUACGAUGGGGAUGCGUUCCGUUAGGUAGUAGGCGGGG